rnacentral:rRNA from 1 species
CUGAACAGGGGGGCAGGAGCGGGGGUAAUAGGUAGGUGGCGAGGUUUACUCGGCAGUAGUGGGAGUAAAGGGUGCGGAGGCGGAAGAGCAAGUCGAGUGUGAAAGCGCCGGGCUUAACUUGGGAAUUGCGCUCGAAACUACUUUGCUGGAGUGUGGCAGAGGAAGGUGGAAUUCCACGUGUAGCGGUGAAAUGCGUAGAGAUGUGGAGGAACACCAAUGGCGAAGGCAGCCUUCUGGGCCAACACUGACGCUCAUGCACGAAAGCGUGGGGAGCAAACAGGAUUAGAUACCCCGGUAGUC